GAAGGCAGCUCACUGGGCCGCUAUCGACGCUGAGGAGCGAAAGCUAGGGGAGCAAACAGGAUUAGAUACCCUGGUAGUCCUAGCUGUAAACGAUGGAUACUAGACGUAGGAACUGGAUUGACGGUUUCUGUGUCGCAGCUAACGCGUUAAGUAUCCCGCCUGGGGAGUACGGUCGCAAGACUAAAACUCAAAGGAAUUGACGGGACCCCGCACAAGCGGCGGAGCAUGCGGCUUAAUUCGAUGAUACCCGUAGAACCUUACCUGGACUUGACAUAUAGGGUCUAGCUAUAGAGAUAUAGUGUGCAUUAGCGCCCUAUACAGGUGGUGCAUGGCUGUCGUCAGCUCGUGUUGUGAGAUGUUGGGUUAAGUCCCGCAACGAGCGCAACCCCUGUCCUAUGUUGCCAGCAUUUAGUUGGGGACUCAUAGGAGACUGCCGGUGAUAAACCGGAGGAAGGUGGGGACGACGUCAAGUCAUCAUGCCCCUUAUGUCCAGGGCUGCACGCAUGCUACAAUGGCAAGUACAACGAGUUGCAAUACCGCGAGGUGGAGCAAAUCUCUUAAAGCUUGUCUCAGUUCGGAUAGGAGUCUGCAACUCGACUCCUUGAAGUUGGAGUCGCUAGUAAUCGCAAAUCAGCAAAGUUGCGGUGAAUACGUUCUCGGGGUUUGUACACACCGCCCGUCAAGUCACGGAAGUCGGCAAUACCCGAAGCCAGUGGUCCAACCCUUUUGGGAGGAAGCUGUCGAAGGUAGGGUCGGUAACUGGGACUAAGUCGUAACAAGGUAGCC
rnacentral:rRNA from 1 species